AGCAGCCGCGGUAAUUCCAGCUCCAAUAGCGUAUAUUAAAGUUGUUGCAGUUAAAAAGCUCGUAGUUGAAUUUCGGGAUCAGAUUGUUGGUCGUGCCUCGGUACGCACUGGCAUUAUUGGUUCCUACCUUCUGAAGAACCGCGAUGUCAUUAAUUUGGUGUCGUGGGGAAUCAGGACUGUUACUUUGAAAAAUUAGAGUGUUUAAAGCAGGCGCACGCUUGAAUACAUUAGCAUGGAAUAAUGAAAUAGGACGUUUGAUUCUAUUUUGUUGGUUUCUAGGAUCGACGUAAUGAUUAAUAGGGAUAGUUGGGGGCAUUAGUAUUCAAUUGUCAGAGGUGAAAUUCUUGGAUUUAUUGAAGACUAACUACUGCGAAAGCAUUUGCCAAGGAUGUUUUCAUUAAUCAAGAACGAAAGUUAGGGGAUCGAAGACGAUCAGAUACCGUCGUAGUCUUAACCAUAAACUAAUGCCGACUAGGGAUCGGAUGAUGUUAAUUUUAAUGUACUC
rnacentral:rRNA from 1 species